rnacentral:misc_RNA from 1 species
GAUGAAGAACGUAGCGAAAUGCGAUAAGUAAUGUGAAUUGCAGAAUUCAGUGAAUCAUCGAAUCUUUGAACGCACAUUGCGCCCCCUGGUAUUCCGGGGGGCAUGACUGUCCGAGCGUCAUUACAACCCUCAAGCUCAGCUUGGUGUUGGGCCCCGCCGCCCCGGCGGGCCCUAAAGUCAGUGGCGGUGCCGUCCGGCUCCGAGCGUAGUAAUUCUUCUCGCUCUGGAGGUCCGGUCGUGUGCUCGCCAGCAACCCCCAAUUUUUUUCAGGUUGACCUAGGAUCAGGUAGGGAUACCCGCUGAACUUAAGCAUAUCAAUAAGCGGAGGA